rnacentral:rRNA from 1 species
GAUGAACGCUGGCGGCGUGCCUAAUACAUGCAAGUCGAACGAUGAACCCGGAGCUUGCUCCGGUGGAUUAGUGGCGAACGGGUGAGUAACACGUGAGUAACCUGCCCUUGACUCUGGGAUAACGCUCCGAAAGGAGUGCUAAUACCGGAUACUCACAUCGAGGCACAUGCCUUGGUGUGGAAAGUUUUUCGGAAAGGGAUGGAGUCGCGGCCUAUCAGCUUGUUGGUGAGGUAACGGCUCACCAAGGCGACGACGGGUAGCCGGCCUGAGAGGGCGACCGGCCACACUGGGACUGAGACACGGCCCAGACUCCUACGUGAGGCAGCAGUGGGGAAUAUUGCACAAUGGGCGCAAGCCUGAUGCAGCGACGCCGCGUGAGGGAUGAAGGUCUUCGGAUUGUAAACCUCUUUCAGUAGGGACGAAGCGAAAGUGACGGUACCUAAAGAAGAAGCACCGGCUAACUACGUGCCAGCCGCCGCUGUAA